GGGGCUGCCUGGUUUCGACGUUGGGACCGCUGGCUGUCCGUGCGACCCGAGUUGCUCAGACUCGCAAAACGGGGCAAACAAAUGCACGCCGACACGCGUGAAGCCCUUCUCGCAGCCUAAGAAGCUGUGAUCAAGGGAUACAGCGACCCGUGAGGGCACGCCGAGGACGACCCUUUGCCUUGGGAACAGAAUGAGGGUUGACGGCAGGGAAAGACCGCUGACGAGUCGGGAAAGACCGACUGGCCUCACGGAAAGACGUGACGAACAUCCGUGACCCGGCACGGGGGUAGCGUCAAGCCCGAACCACGGGAAUGGUCGUAGCUCGGGAAGUCCGCACCCGGCGGACGAGGGUUCGAUUCCCUCCAGCUCCACUG
rnacentral:tmRNA from 1 species